AACCUGAUUAUUAGUGUCGUCUGAGUACUAUAUAAUAGUUAAAACUUUCAACAACGGAUCUCUUGGUUCUGGCAUCGAUGAAGAACGCAGCGAAAUGCGAUAAGUAAUGUGAAUUGCAGAAUUCAGUGAAUCAUCGAAUCUUUGAACGCACAUUGCGCCCCGUGGUAUUCCGCGGGGCAUGCCUGUUCGAGCGUCAUU
rnacentral:rRNA from 1 species